UACAGAGGGUGCAAGCGUUAAUCGGAAUUACUGGGCGUAAAGCGUGUGUAGGUGGUUUGUUAAGUCAGAUGUGAAAUCCCUGGGCUCAACCUGGGAACUGCAUUUGAUACUGUCAGACUAGAGUGUGGUAGAGGGUAGUGGAAUUCCGCAUGUAGCGGUGAAAUGCGUAGAGAUGUGGAGGAACACCGAUGGCGAAGGCAGCCUCCUGGGCCAACACUGACGCUCAUGCACGAAAGCGCGGGGAGCAAAC
rnacentral:rRNA from 1 species